GUGGGUGAUGGCGUGCCUUUUGAAGAAUGAGCCUGCGAGUUAGUGGCAUGUGGCGAGGUUAACCCGUGUGGGGUAGCCGUAGCGAAAGCGAGUCCGAAUAGGGCGUUGAGUCGCGUGUUCUAGACCCGAAGCGGAGUGAUCUACCCAUGGCCAGGGUGAAGCGACGGUAAGACGUCGUGGAGGCCCGAACCCACUUAGGUUGAAAACUGAGGGGAUGAGCUGUGGGUAGGGGUGAAAGGCCAAUCAAACUCCGUGAUAGCUGGUUCUCCCCGAAAUGCAUUUAGGUGCAGCGUCACGUGUUUCACGCCGGAGGUAGAGCUACUGGAUGGCCUAGGGGGCCUACAAGCUUACCGAAGUCAGCCAAACUCCGAAUGCCGGUGUGUGAGAGCGUGGCAGUGAGACUGCGGGGGAUAAGCUUCGUAGUCGAGAGGGAAACAGCCCAGAUCGCCGGCUAAGGCCCCUAAGCGUGUACUAAGUGGAAAAGGAUGUGGGGUCGCGAAGACAACCAGGAGGUUGGCUUAGAAGCAGCCACCCUUGAAAGAGUGCGUAAUAGCUCACUGGUCAAGUGAUCCUGCGCCGACAAUGUAGCGGGGCUCAAGUACACCGCCGAAGCCGCGGCAUUCACACAAUACAUCCAUCAUUCCCUGCGGGGGGUGGUGCAGUGGUGUGGAUGGGUAGGGGAGCGUCGUACAGCCAGGGAAGCAGCAGUGUGAACUAGUUGUGGAGGCUGUGCGAGUGAGAAUGCAGGCAUGAGUAGCGAAAGACGAGUGAGAAACUCGUCCGCCGAAUGACCAAGGGUUCCUGGGCCAGGUUAAUCCGCCCAGGGUGAGUCGGGACCUAAGGCGAGGCCGACAGGCGUAGUCGAUGGACAACGGGUUGAUAUUCCCGUACCCGUGUAUCCGCGCCCAAUGGCGAAUCAGUGGUGCUAAGUGCCCAAAAGCGGAUGGACCUCCUUCGGGAGGCCGGAAGUGGCUGCGCACGACCCCUGCUGUAGUAGUCAAGCGAUGGGGUGACGCAGGAAGGUAGCUGGGCCAGUGAGUGGUUGUACUGGUGUAAGCCUGUAGGGCGUUGUGUAGGCAAAUCCGCACAACAUGAGCCUGAGAGGUGAUGCGUAGCCGAUUGAGGUGAAUUCAGUGAUCCUAUGCUGCCGAGAAAAGCCUCUAGUGAGUUGGUACACGGCCCGUACCCCAAACCGACACAGGUGGUCAGGUAGAGAAUACCGAGGCGAUCGAGAGAACUGUGGUUAAGGAACUCGGCAAAAUGCCCCCGUAACUUCGGGAGAAGGGGGACCUGAUCUGGUGACCGGUCUUGCACCGUGAGCUGGGUUGGGUCGCAGAGACCAGAGAGAAGCGACUGUUUACUAAAAACACAGGUCCGUGCGAAGUCGUAAGACGAUGUAUACGGACUGACGCCUGCCCGGUGCCGGAAGGUUAAGAGGACCGGUUAGCGCUUCGGCGCGAAGCUGAGAAUUUAAGCCCCGGUAAACGGCGGUGGUAACUAUAACCAUCCUAAGGUAGCGAAAUUCCUUGUCGGGUAAGUUCCGACCUGCACGAAUGGCGUAACGACUUCUCUGCUGUCUCAACCACAGACUCGGCGAAAUUGCAUUACGAGUAAAGAUGCUCGUUACGCGCGGCAGGACGAAAAGACCCCGGGACCUUCACUAUAGCUUGGUAUUGGUGUUCGGUACGGUUUGUGUAGGAUAGGUGGGAGACUGUGAAAGCCACACGCCAGUGUGGUGGGAGUCGUCGUUGAAAUACCACUCUGAUCGUAUUGGACUUCUAACCUCGGGCCAUGAUCUGGUUCAGGGACAGUGCCUGGUGGGUAGUUUAACUGGGGCGGUUGCCUCCUAAA
rnacentral:rRNA from 1 species